rnacentral:rRNA from 1 species
AGCCUGAAUCAGUGUGUGUGUUAGUGGAAGCGUCUGGAAAGGCGCGCGAUACAGGGUGACAGCCCCGUACACAAAAAUGCACAUGCUGUGAGCUCGAUGAGUAGGGCGGGACACGUGGUAUCCUGUCUGAAUAUGGGGGGACCAUCCUCCAAGGCUAAAUACUCCUGACUGACCGAUAGUGAACCAGUACCGUGAGGGAAAGGCGAAAAGAACCCCGGCGAGGGGAGUGAAAAAGAACCUGAAACCGUGUACGUACAAGCAGUGGGAGCACGCUUAGGCGUGUGACUGCGUACCUUUUGUAUAAUGGGUCAGCGACUUAUAUUCUGUAGCAAGGUUAACCGAAUAGGGGAGCCGAAGGGAAACCGAGUCUUAACUGGGCGUUAAGUUGCAGGGUAUAGACCCGAAACCCGGUGAUCUAGCCAUGGGCAGGUUGAAGGUUGGGUAACACUAACUGGAGGACCGAACCGACUAAUGUUGAAAAAUUAGCGGAUGACUUGUGGCUGGGGGUGAAAGGCCAAUCAAACCGGGAGAUAGCUGGUUCUCCCCGAAAGCUAUUUAGGUAGCGCCUCGUGAAUUCAUCUCCGGGGGUAGAGCACUGUUUCGGCAAGGGGGUCAUCCCGACUUACCAACCCGAUGCAAACUGCGAAUACCGGAGAAUGUUAUCACGGGAGACACACGGCGGGUGCUAACGUCCGUCGUGAAGAGGGAAACAACCCAGACCGCCAGCUAAGGUCCCAAAGUCAUGGUUAAGUGGGAAACGAUGUGGGAAGGCCCAGACAGCCAGGAUGUUGGCUUAGAAGCAGCCAUCAUUUAAAGAAAGCGUAAUAGCUCACUGGUCGAGUCGGCCUGCGCGGAAGAUGUAACGGGGCUAAACCAUGCACCGAAGCUGCGGCAGCGACGCUUAUGCGUUGUUGGGUAGGGGAGCGUUCUGUAAGCCUGUGAAGGUGUGCUGUGAGGCAUGCUGGAGGUAUCAGAAGUGCGAAUGCUGACAUAAGUAACGAUAAAGCGGGUGAAAAGCCCGCUCGCCGGAAGACCAAGGGUUCCUGUCCAACGUUAAUCGGGGCAGGGUGAGUCGACCCCUAAGGCGAGGCCGAAAGGCGUAGUCGAUGGGAAACAGGUUAAUAUUCCUGUACUUGGUGUUACUGCGAAGGGGGGACGGAGAAGGCUAUGUUGGCCGGGCGACGGUUGUCCCGGUUUAAGCGUGUAGGCUGGUUUUCCAGGCAAAUCCGGAAAAUCAAGGCUGAGGCGUGAUGACGAGGCACUACGGUGCUGAAGCAACAAAUGCCCUGCUUCCAGGAAAAGCCUCUAAGCAUCAGGUAACAUCAAAUCGUACCCCAAACCGACACAGGUGGUCAGGUAGAGAAUACCAAGGCGCUUGAGAGAACUCGGGUGAAGGAACUAGGCAAAAUGGUGCCGUAACUUCGGGAGAAGGCACGCUGAUAUGUAGGUGAAGUCCCUCGCGGAUGGAGCUGAAAUCAGUCGAAGAUACCAGCUGGCUGCAACUGUUUAUUAAAAACACAGCACUGUGCAAACACGAAAGUGGACGUAUACGGUGUGACGCCUGCCCGGUGC